UACGUAGGGGGCAAGCGUUGUCCGGAUUUAUUGGGCGUAAAGCGCUCGCAGGUGGUUCGAUACGUCGUGCGUGAAAGACCCCGGCUCAACUGGGGAGUGUCGUGCGAUACGGUCGGACUGGAGGCCAGUAGGGGGAUGCGGAAUUCCGGGUGUAGUGGUGGAAUGCGUAGAGAUCCGGAGGAACACCAGCGGCGAAGGCGGCAUCCUGGACUGGUCCUGACACUCAUGAGCGAAAGCGUGGGGAGCGAGCCGG
rnacentral:rRNA from 1 species